GACGAACGCUGGCGGCGUGCUUAACACAUGCAAGUCGAACGGAAAGGCCCUGCGUUUGUGGCGUUCUCGAGUGGCGGACGGGGGAGUAACACGUGAGUAACCUGCCCUUGACUUUGGGAUAACUUCAGGAAACUGGGGCUAAUACCGGAGAGGAGCUCCUGCUGCAUGGGGGUGGUUGGAAAGUUUCGGCGGUUGGGGAUGGACUGGCUGCUUAUCAGCUUGUUGGUGGGGUAGUGGCUUACCAAGGCUUUGACGGGUAGGCCGCCUGAGAGGGUGGCCGGGGACCAUGCGCCUGCGAUACGGAGCAGAAUCGUACGGGAGGCAGCAGUGGGAAAUAUUGCACAGUGGGCCGAAGCGUGAUGCAGAAGCGCUGCGUGCGGGAUGCCGGGUUUCGGGGUGUGAACAGCUUUCGAAUGAGCCGAAGCGUGAGUGACGGUAAUGGAUCAAGAAGCCCCGGCUAACUACGUG
rnacentral:rRNA from 1 species